AGUCGACGGUAACAGGUCUUCGGAUGCUGACGAGUGGCGGACGGGUGAGUAAUGCGUAGGAAUCUGUCUUUGAGUGGGGGACAACCCAGGGAAACUUGGGCUAAUACCGCAUAAGCCCUGAGGGGGAAAGCGGGGGAUCUUCGGACCUCGCGCUGGAAGAGGAGCCUACGUCUGAUUAGCUAGUUGGUAGGGUAAAGGCCUACCAAGGCGACGAUCGGUAGCUGGUCUGAGAGGACGACCAGCCACACUGGGACUGAGACACGGCCCAGACUCCUACGGGAGGCAGCAGUGGGGAAUUUUUCGCAAUGGGGGCAACCCUGACGAAGCAAUGCCGCGUGAAUGAAGAAGGCCUUCGGGUUGUAAAGUUCUUUCGUGGAGGACGAAAAGGUGGGUGCUAAUAUCGCCUGCUGUUGACGUGAAUCCAAGAAGAAGCACCGGCUAACUCCGUGCCAGCAGCCGCGGUAAUAC
rnacentral:rRNA from 1 species